UCGCCCCGCAACCCGAGGUUUGCUUUCCAGUUGAGCUGGGUCUGUUCAGUUCCGUUCGUGAUUCCGGCGCUGCUACGUUUCCUGUUAGUCCCGUCGAUUAGCAUUUUCAGAUUGUAAGUCAUUUAAAUUUCAGAUUAAUAGAGGUUUAUCUUUUCUUCUCCCUUUGUUUCAUGUGUUGAUUGGUUCCGUGAAGAAUUGGAUUUCGUGGUCAUUUUCUUUGUGUUCAUCACUGCACCACACCUCAGUUUUCAUUUGUAAUUUCUCUUAUUUGUUUGUUGAUCCGGUUUGUUAGUGCUCGUUUGGUUAUAACGCCAAAUCCGGUUCUGGCUUUAAUUCAUUGGCUUAAAGUAAUGUUAGUAGAGGAUUUGAAGUUAGGCGUGGUUGGUUUAAAGUCAGAUCUGAAACUUGAUUAAUAAUGGUAAGAAUUUGAGCUUAAGAAAGUUUAUGUUAUUCUUGUUUUCGUUCUCUUUCUAAUUACUUGGAUCCAGAAAUAAAAGUGCAAUUAUUAAGAAUUGAAUUGUAUUUAAGAAUGCAAAGUAUCUGCAAUUUGGUUCGGGCAAUGAGGAUUUGUCCAUAAUUAUAGAUUGAAUAGAUUGAUUAUAAUAUUGGUCGCAGUUAUCCCUGAUUUCAUCUCUAAAAUAACAAAUGAAUUGCCUCCUUGCUUAUUCUUGCUGAAUAAUUCUUAAAAAACUUAUAGUUUUGCUACGAGCUAAAAAUAUUACACUACCACUUGAAAAGCUUAUUUUGGAUAGAUCGUUGUUCAUUUUAUUUCAUAUUGAAAUAUCAAGUCAAUUUGGAAGUCAUAAAUUGUAUCGCCUAGCAUUGUUAUGGAAUUAUGCAAUAAAAAUGGGUUAAGCCAUAUUAUCGUGGGACACUGAGAUGUGGUGCCAUGAUUUCCUGAGGAUUACUAUAAAAUUGAAAAGGUUAGCAUUUCUCUAUUUCAUUUAUAGAUAGGCUUAUUGCUUUCUUAAAUGCAUGGCCCUCGCUUAAUUAAUUUCAAUCCUUAGAAAUCGAGGCAUGCUAUUUAGUUGAAUUUUCCAUGGCCCUCACAAAGUUGAAAGUGCAGAGUUGCUUUAGGCGCGUUAUUUUAAUAAUUUACCUUCCUAAACUCGGGUGCGCAUUUAUGUGACCCAAAUCCAAAUCUCAACAAUGUUAGAUAAAAUAUGUCGGGGACCGCGGGCGCAUUUAUGUGACGUGGUUCAAGACGUGUUUUAAAUAAGGUUGAAAUCUUCCUAAAAAAAUAAUUAAAUAAAAGCGGUUAUAAAGUUAAAAUUGCACCAUAUGCUAAAACAUGUACUAAAAUCAAUAAAUAGGCCAAUUAUAAUAGUUGAGCGACCGUGCUAGAACCACGGAACUCGGGAAUGCCUAAUACCUUCUCUCGGGUUAACAAAAUUCCUUACCCGGAUUUCUGUGUUGGUGGACUGUAAAACAGAGUCAAUUUUUCCUCGAUUAGGGAUUUGAUACUUGCGACUUGGGACACCCUAAAUUAUCCCAAGUGGAAACUCUGAAUUUUUAAUAAAAUAAUCCCGUUUCGAUUGUUACUUUAAGUUGGAAAAAACUCCCUUAUAUUCCCCUUCCCGGGGGGUGUAGGAAAAAAGGAGGUGUGACAGCUCUGGCGACUCUGCUGGGGAUCGAACCCAGAAUUCCUAGUUCAGGGUUCAGAAAUCAAGCUUGGGUGAAUUGUUAUAUUUGGCUUUAUUUAUUAUCUGAUUUUAUUACAUGUUUGGGCCUAAUGUGCUAAAUGUUGCUUUUUACCGCUUUGAUAUUAUCUGAACUGUAUAUAUAAACUGCUACGAAACCUCUUUCUUCUCUCUCCUGAGGAGUGCAUGCUGGUCGUGACUUCUUUUUAUUAGUGUCAUAUCCCAAAUAGAAUGAGGUUCAGACAAGUUGCAAAGUCGAAUGAUCUUUUGGUUAUCGGUACGCAGCCCCCCGGCUCGAGUGGUCCGCUCGGGUGCCCAAGUCUAGAACAGUAUACCCAGGUUUUAUACUUGGAAUAACUCAGCCUCAUGCUGGAUCCCUAGUAGGAACGUUUGUUUGCAUCAUGUGCAUUUGACUUUGGAGACUCAACACAGAGAUUGGGUCCGUGUAGGACAGGUGUACCCAAAAAUAAAAGACUAUCCUGAUGCAUCCUAUGUGCUAUGUGUUGCAUUUAUUUAAGGGUAAAAGGGUCAUUUGGCGGACCAAUGAUAGUUGAGGGCUAAUGAAAAAAAAAAGAAAAAAAAAAGAGUGAAGUAUGAAAAUAAGGCAAGUAGGGCCCAGUUAUGCUUUCUUUCACAUUUUUUAAAAGAAAAGGAAAAAAAACAUGAAAAUUCAAAAGAUUUUGCACUUUUUUUUUGUCAUUUUUCGAAAAUCAAAAAUCAAAAAAAAUGAGGAUAAAGAAAAUCCAAAAAGAUUUUACAUGUUUCAUCAUUUUUUUUAAAAAAAGGACAAAAAAANNNNNNNNNNNNNNNNNNNNNNNNNNNNNNNNNNNNNNNNNNNNNNNNNNNNNNNNNNNNNNNNNNNNNNNNNNNNNNNNNNNNNNNNNNNNNNNNNNNNNNNNNNNNNNNNNNNNNNNNNNNNNNNNNNNNNNNNNNNNNNNNNNNNNNNNNNNNNNNNNNNNNNNNNNNNNNNNNNNNNNNNNNNNNNNNNNNNNNNNNNNNNNNNNNNNNNNNNNNNNUUUGCGUUUUUAUAUUUUCGUUAGAAUUUUGUUUAGGAAUACUACUCCUAGAAAUUGGAAAAAAAAUCGUUUGAUGUGGUUCUUCCUUUAGGCAAUUAAUAUCUAAAACUUAAAAUAAAAAUUUAUUUUUAUAUUUCCUUUAGUAUAUUAGGACUAAAAAAUAGAGAAUUUUUAUUUUUUAGUACAUCUUUAAAGGUUUUCUCUAAGAUAUUGAUUCCAAAAAUCCGAAAAAGAUUUUCUUUUGAGGUUUUUUUCUUUGCAAAAUUAAUAAAAAAUGAAUAGAAAAAAAAUUUCUUUUAUUUUUACUAGAUUUAGGACAUUGUACAUAGAAGAAAUAAGAAUCUUCUAUUUAUUUUUAAAAUUUCUCCUUUAGGUAAUUAAAAAUUGAAAUCCAAAAAUAAUUUUUAUCUUUUUCAUUUCUCAUUACGAAGUUUUUCUUCAAGGAUAUCAAACGAAAAUUCAAAAAAAAGGAGUCAAAAAAUAUCUUUCUCUUCUAGAAUUUUUCCUUAAUAGAGUAUUUGUUUCCAAAAAGAAAAGAAAAAGAAACAAAAUCCGUUAAGCUUGAGUUUUGAAUAUGUUAUAGAACAUUAAGUCUAGAAAAUUCAAAAAAAGGUUUUGCUUCUUUUAUUUCUCUUUUCUCNNNNNNNNNNNNNNNNNNNNNNNUACCAAAAGAAAAGAAAAGAAAGAAAAAAAAAGAGAAAAAGAUGGUGAAAUUAUGGGCUGUGAGAAAUGAGAAGGAAGAAAAAGAGCGACAAUCAGAAAGAAAAAGGGGAAAGAAAAUGAGCGAGCUAAGAAGUGCUAAAAAAGCAAAGAAAGGAGAGGAUUGAAAUGAACAAAUUGGGAUGAUGCCAUAUGACCUUCAUACCCUUGAAGUCAUUCUAGAACCGUUAAUUGUUGCUAGGUGCAUUGCACGCAAUGUGAUAUUUUUGAUGUUAAAUGCCCUAAAGCUAACAGGAUGAACCCAUUAUGUUCCUUUUCGUUAUCUUUAUUUAGCAGAAAGGUGGUUGGUUUGUGGUUCUUAAAGUGGUAACUCUUCACUACAACAUAAGGUCGAAAGGCAAUGGCAGACGGCAACGGAAUUGGGUCGGUUGAUACCGGUGCCCGAAAGCAGUUGGUUGAACAUGACACUGGUUUGGCUGAUGAGGUAAGGAAGUUAGACAACACAUGACGGACAUGUAUCAGGCCUGGAUGACUGGGAAGGCACCACCCCCGCCACCACCUAGCUUCUUAGAUGCUACACUUACCCAAACUUUGGUCAUAGUGCCGGAUGAUCCCCCAUACUCUCUAGAUCCACCCAUUUAUCACAGCUUUCCCAACCACCCUAGCAGCUCCAUCACUCAUCCUCCAAUUACCUCUCCCCAAAAUUACCCUCCUGUCAUAUCCACUAUUCCCAACAAUGAAUACCCACUCAAAGCUCAGGAUGCCCAAUAUUACUCCUCAAAGGUUGCCCACAAGGUUCUUGACUCAUACAAGAAGAGCCCUCGGAAGAGCUUCAUGCUGAAAAUGAAAAGGUUACAGGAAAAGAAGGGCGAGAUGAGAUAUCCGGGAAGCUAAAAAGCAUAGAACAAUCCUUAAGGAACAUGCAAGGGACGGGAGACCAGGUUAACAUAUCUUACAAAGAGUUGUGUAUGUUCCCUGACAUUCGCCUGCCCACAGGUUUUAAAGUGCCAAAGUUUAACUUGUAUGAUGGGUGUAGAGAUCCGGUAGCCCAUUUGAGGGAUUAUUGCAGUAAAAUGAGAAGUGUUGGCGAGAAAUAUGAUUUAUUGAUGGCAUAUUUCAGUGAGAGCUUGACUGGGACAGCUCUGGAAUGACAUAAUCGUCAAGAUGCCGGUAAGUGACACACAUUGGGUGACGUGGCUCAAGAUUUUGUCGACGCUUUCAGUAUAAUAUAGACAUUGUCCCCGACCGCUCCUCCCUAUCCCAGAUGGAAAAGAAACCCAAGGAAAGUCAUAAGGAAUUUUGGCUUAGAUGGAACGAACAAGUUGCUCAGGAUAGUCCUCCCAUUGAUAGAAAAAAUGUUGCUGAGCCUCGCCGACGACAGGGUCCAGUGGUCGUUCUAGCUAAACGCUUUUAGCCUCAAUAUCGACCCCGCGGAUAUCCUUGUAAUCCUCCCCACUGCUACUUCUCUCCACAAAACCCCCAAAAUCGUACAUCACAUUCCCGAUACCCCGUCCACAAUGCGCCACCAUAUGCUCUACCUCGAUGAGGCCUACGAUGGCCCACACCACUUCCACAAAUGUCUCACCCGCCCCCUCAGGCAUAUCAACCAUCUGCCCGUAAAAGGUUCCAACCGAGGCCAGAAUAUAAAAUGAAAAGAUUACUAAAACAAGAAAAUACUUUCACCCAUAUUGGAGAACCGUAUGCUAGUCUGCUCCAAAGGUUGAUGCAAUUGGACAUCUUGAAGCCGAUUCAGAUAAAAAGGCCAAACCCUCUUCCAAAGAAGUUUGAUUUUUCUCAAAGGUGCGCAUAUUGCUCAGAUGCCCUGGGGCAUGACAUAGAAAAGUGUUGGCAUCUGAAAGGAGUAGUUCAGAAGCUUAUUGAUGUAGGUGACAUUACCGCGCAAAAUCCAAAUGCAGCAGAUACCAUCCAAAGUCCAUUGCCCGAGACACAUAUGGAGGACAUGAUUCAUGUGGAAAAGGAAUAUGAGAACUAUUCUGAGAUCCUCGGAGGGCCAGUUGCCGCAAAGCUUUCAGCGCUAUCACUCUUGGUUCCGAAAGUUGAUCAUAAGAACGAGCCGGCCAAAGGGUCCCAAAAGCAAUUUGCUAAGGACAAUGAGAGGAAGACUUGUGAAGGUUCUAGAAAUAUUGAUGUUGAACUCAGUGGCUAAGAUGCAGAACAUGGUAAUUGGAAAGACGCUCCUCUCUUGGCUAGCUAGGGAGGAGUCUUGGCAGUUUAUUUUGUUGUCAUUUCUGUUGUCCGGGUUAUUUUUAGGGUUGUAAUCCGGAUAUUGUCUUGUGACUCAAACCCUUCUAUCCUUUUAUUUUCCCUAGUUCUUUUAGUCACAUUAGCUCGUUUAGUGUUGUCUAGGUUUGUUCCAGGUUUGUGAUCCCAGUUUAGUUUGCUAGUUUUAUUGUUCAAACCCUUUCACCAUCUGUCUAAUGCAAAUUUUCUGUUUUAUGUUAUUUCUAGUCAUUUUUGUUUAGUUAUCUUUUCUUUUUAUAGUCCUUUUCCUGUUGACUCUAGUGACAUGACAUGCACACGUAACUCUCAGCCUUGUUUUUAAAAGUUAGUUUAAUCGUGAAGCAAUUCGGGAGAUGAUAUGGACAUUUGAGGGAAAUAAGUGAAGGGAUUUUGAGAUCACAAAGCCCGAAUUAUGUGAAACUGGGGGAGAUAGAAGAUAAAGAAGUACUAUUGAAACGUAUCCUUCCACAUCAGGCUGAAGCAAAAGGCA
rnacentral:lncRNA from 1 species